ensembl:misc_RNA Metazoa_SRP Metazoan signal recognition particle RNA
GCCGGGCACGGUGGCUCAUGCCUGUAAUCCCGGCACACUGGGAGGCCGAGGUGGGUGAAUCACCUGAGGUCAGGAGUUCGAGAGCAGCCUGGCCAACAUGGUGAAACCUCACCUCUA